rnacentral:rRNA from 1 species
GUAGGUGGCAAGCGUUGUCCGGAAUUAUUGGGCGUAAAGCGCGCGCAGGCGGUCCUUUAAGUCUGAUGUGAAAGCCCACGGCUCAACCGUGGAGGGUCAUUGGAAACUGGGGGGACUUGAGUACAGAAGAGGAAAGCGGAAUUCCAAGUGUAGCGGUGAAAUGCGUAGAGAUUUGGAGGAACACCAGUGGCGAAGGCGGCUUUCUGGUCUGUAACUGACGCUGAGGCGCGAAAGCGUGGGGAGCAAACAGGGAUUAGAUACCCUGGUAGUCCACGCCGUAAACGAUGAGUGCUAAGUGUUAGGGGGUUUCCCGCCCCUUAGUGCUGCAGCUAACGCAUUAAGCACUCCGCCUGGGGAGUACGGCCGCAAGGCUG